UACGGGGGGGGCAAGCGUUGUUCGGAAUUACUGGGCGUAAAGCGUGCGCAGGCGGUUGUGCAAGGCCGAUGUGAAAUCCCCGGGCUUAACCUGGGAACUGCAUUGGUGACUGCAGCGCUGGAGUAUGGCAGAGGGGGGUGGAAUUCCACGUGUAGCAGUGAAAUGCGUAGAGAUGUGGAGGAACACCGAUGGCGAAGGCAGCCCCCUGGGCCAAUACUGACGCUCAUGCACGAAAGCGUGGGGAGCAAACAGG
rnacentral:rRNA from 1 species